rnacentral:rRNA from 1 species
UACAGAGGUCCCAAGCGUUGUUCGGAUUCACUGGGCGUAAAGGGUGCGUAGGCGGUUUAAUAAGUCUGACGUGAAAUCUCCGGGCCUAACCCGGAAACUGCGUUGGAUACUAUUUCACUAGAGGAAUGGAGGGGAGACUGGAAUACUUGGUGUAGCAGUGAAAUGCGUAGAUAUCAAGUGGAACACCAGUGGCGAAGGCGAGUCUCUAGACAUUUCCUGACGCUGAGGCACGAAAGCCAGGGGAG